AUGUCGUCUUCCUCUUCCUCCGGCGCCUCCCAGGCUGGCCCCAACGGCCAAGUCACGGAGAGGCUCUCCCGCACCAACUAUGUCCUCUGGCGCGCGCAGAUCAUGCCGCAGCUGAGGGGCGCGGGUGUCUUCGGCUAUGUCGACGGCACGACACCGGAGCCGGCCAGGAUCCUCCACACCAAGGACAAAGAUGGGAAGGAAUCAACUGAGCCGAAUCCCCUCCACUCCAUCUGGGUGCGAGAGGACCAGCAGGUGCUCGGGUACCUGCUGAACAACCUCACCAAGGAGGUGCUCGUGUAGGUGACCGCAAUC
rnacentral:rRNA from 1 species